rnacentral:piRNA from 1 species
CAGGCAAAAAAUUAUAAAGAU